GGGCUUCACUGUCUCCUUUUUCCAAUCAGUGAAACUGAUCUCCCCGUGAAGAAGCGGGAAUCACACUAUAAGACGAGAAGACCCCAUGGAGCUUUAAACCCAAUAACAUCCCUAACCUUCUUUCCCACUAAAGUUUUUCAGCUCUGUCUAUUGGUUUUAGGUUGGGGCGACCGCGGAGUAAAACACAACCUCCACAACGCAUGGAACUAACACCACAUCCGAGAGCCACCUCUCAAAGAAUCAACAAAUUGACGUUAAUGAUCCAAUUAUUUUGAUCAAUGAACCAAGUUACCCUGGGGAUAACAGCGCAAUCCAUUUCAAGAGCUCCUAUCGACAAGUGGGUUUACGACCUCGAUGUUGGAUCAGGGUAUCCCAGUGGUGCAGCCGCUACUAACGGUU
rnacentral:rRNA from 1 species